rnacentral:rRNA from 1 species
AUGAACGCUAGCGGCAGGCUUAACACAUGCAAGUCGAGGGGCAGCGGGAUGUAGCAAUACAUUGCCGGCGACCGGCGCAAGGGUGCGUAACGCGUGAGCAACAUGCCCGUCACAGGAGGAUAAACCAUGGAAACGUGGCCUAAUACUCCAUAGUAUGUUUUUGAGGCAUCUCAAUUACAUUAAAGCUUCGGUGGUGACGGAUUGGCUCGCGUGACAUUAGCUAGAUGGAGAGGUAACGGCUCACCAUGGCGACGAUGUCUAGGGGAACUGAGAGGAAGGUCCCCCACACUGGAACUGAGACACGGUCCAGACUCCUACGGGAGGCAGCAGUGAGGAAUAUUGGUCAAUGGACGCAAGUCUGAACCAGCCAAGUAGCGUGAAGGAUGACUGCCCUAUGGGUUGUAAACUUCUUUUAUACGGGAAUAAAAGACAUUACGUGUAGUGUUUUGCAUGUACCGUUAUGAAUAAGCAUCGGCUAAUUCCGUG